CACCACAAUCCCCCCCAUGCCCCCAACACACAUACACCUUCCCUGGAGUUCUAAUCAUACACACAUGUUGCCAAUUUCACACUCACUCACUCCACGCUGUAUAAGAGACUUUUUGAACACUAUGUAUUUGUAUUCGCUCUGUUUUGGUCGAGACCAAGCCUUGCUGUCGUGUUUGUCUUCCUGGUUUUGACUUGACUCUCGUCUACUGCCUCGUUUUGCCUCGCCUUGUUUUGACUCUUUGCUCGACUUCUGCCUGUUUGAAGUUAUGGAUAUUUGCAUGACCCUUUGGACUUUGUUGUUUUUGCGUUAAACUGCCUAACCGGCACUUGCUUGUGUCGGCGCGUCCUUUACAUGACACAGACUGCCUGUGGGGAGAGUGGGAAGUGUUACCCCAAACUCUAGCUCAGGUAACGCUUUCCCACACAGUACAACAAGCUUAUCCAACCGGAAGCACACUGAGUCUCCACCCCCUGGACUUUUCUUUUGACUCCACCCAGGAAGGAGGAACUGGAUUGGGUCUGACUCCACCCCCUUCGAUGUUAUGUCACAACUGGGUGAUAAUACAAAUUCUUCAAGUUUGGGGUUAGGGUUCGGGUUUAUAGGAGCAGUUGGAUCAGAUCUAGCUCCACCCUCUGGACUUGGAUCUGCAAUGAAGACUAUCUCAGUUGUGAAGUUCUUUAAACUUAACAAAUAAAGAUGGCUAACUUUGCAUGUGGUUACAGAGCAGGCGCACUGAUGCUGCAUAAUUAAACAAAGUUUGUUUCUCUUGUUGUUCUGGUAUAUUACAUUUAGUAUUUCAUUUUCCUACACAGUGAACACCAGAAUAGUGCCAAAACGCCCUGAAACAGAGUUGUCCAGUCUCAUCCAGAUUUGUAAGAUUAGACACAUCUGCCCAAAAAGCAUUACAGUGAAAGCUAAUUUCAUCUAAUGAUCUGAAAACUUUGCUGGCGCAGCACUGAGGAGAUUGAAUAUGUCUCAGUGUAAAAAUGCUGCUCUGCUCUUCUGUGUGUUAUUGUUGGAAAUGUAUAAAAUUCACCAUGUAUAUUAUAGUGAACUUAAAUACCUACUCUCCUCAACUCCU